GACGAAGGAUGCAAGCGUUAUCCGGAUUCAUUGGGUUUAAAGGGAGCGUAGGCGGCCUGAUAAGUCAGUGGUGAAAGCCUGUUGCUUAACAACAGAACUGCCAUUGAUACUGUCGGGCUUGAGUACGGUUGCUGUGGGCGGAAUAUGACAUGUAGUGGUGAAAUACAUAGAGAUGUCAUAGAACACCGAUUGCGAAGGCAGCUCACAAAGCCGUAACUGACGCUGAGGCUCGAAAGUGUGGGGAUCAAAC
rnacentral:rRNA from 1 species